rnacentral:rRNA from 1 species
CCUACGGGGGGCUGCAGUGGGGAAUAUUGCACAAUGGGGGAAACCCUGAUGCAGCAACGCCGCGUGAAGGAAGACGGUUUUCGGAUGGUAAACUUCUGUUCUUAGGGAAGAAGAAUGACGGUAGCAGAGGAGGAAGCGCCGGCUAACUACGUGCCAGCAGCCGCGGUAAGACGUAGGGAGCGAGCGUGGUCCGGAUUUACUGGGUGUAAAGGGUGCGUAGGCGGCUUGGCAAGUCAGUAGUGAAAUCCAUGGGCUUAACCCAUGAACUGCUAUUGAAACUGUCGAGCUUGAGUGAAGUAGCGGUCGGCGGCAUUCCCGGUGUAGCGGUGAAAUGCGUAGCGCUCGGGCGGAACACCAGUGGCGACGGCGGCCUACUGGGCUUUACCUGACGCUGAGGCACGACAGCGUGGGUAGCAAACAGGAUUAGAUACCCUUGUAGUC